UGAGUGAUGAAGACCCACUUGGAAAGAUCCAAUCACUUGACACGCACGUAUACAUGAAAGCUUUCUUAAAACUAAUUCGAGAUUAUGAGAUGAUAUAAAGUAGACAUAACAGUAUUAUUUGGCUUCCUUGAUUCUCAAUUAACCAAUCCAUAAUUUAUAUUAUAUAUAUUCUCACUACAGGAAAUAAGCAAUCAUCGUUUUGAGGGGGAAGUACCUUCGCCGGAUCAGCCGGUGACUGUGUGGCUUCUCCCUCCUCCGUUUGGUUUCUUGUAGAGCUUCACAGCGGCGGACGCUUAGCAGAUCUUGAGCUUCAGAGAUGGGCGAGUUCUUUUCUCCGACAACGGUGGUGGGGUUCUUCUUCACGGAUGUAGCGGUGGUUCCAUUUGGGCGGGGGAGAAUCGGAUGCGUUAGACACCGGUUUGAAGACGCUGGUGGUUGUAUCCGACUCUCUCCAUGGCUCGCCCGUCCUUCUGGUCGCUCCGGCUACGGCGGAAGUCGGUGAAGGAGAGGUGGGUUUGUUGUUUUGAUUCGAUGGUUUACGGAGGAUCUCUUGAUCCUUUGACGGCCGCUGCGGAUUCCGGGUCAGGAGUGUUUGUCUGAGCCAUCAACCUCCGGAUCUGCCGUCUGUGGUUUCCAUCGGUCCGGCUGAGAAGUUUUCUGCUCAAGAGAACUCGGGGCUUUUGGUUUUGGUUGGUGGGGUUAGAUUCCCGGUGGUCGAAUUGCUAGGCGUGAGAUCCGGCUUCUCGGAACCGGUUGUUGGUCGGUUGGGUACUCCGGGAGGCGUGUAGCAGGUUGGUCGGCCAGUGGUUUUGUGUCCAUGUCGGGAACCGGAUUCUCCCUUCGGAUCUCCCCAUCCCCUUGGCUCUGCCGCGACGCCGUGCUCCUUGAAUCCGCUGGAUUUCGUACCCUGACUCUCUGCCUCCGGUUAUACAGCAAGAUCUGAGCCGUUGACCUCGUCGCCGGAAGUUUCGCCGGAAGUUUUUCCGUUUUCCUCUUUUGGGCUUCUGAAGUUUCGUUUUUGUUGUAAGUUUUUGUCCGGCCCGUUAAGGGGAUUAUCAAUAAAAUUUAAAAAAAAAAAAAAAAGAAAAGAAAUAAGCACAUUAAUAGCACACGAAAAAUGCUACUAAAGGGCUUUUGUAGCGUAUUUAUAAACGCUAUAAUACAAAGAGUUAUAGUAGACCCCCCCUAUCAUACCAUAAUUUAUGCGUUAUGGAAGAUUGAUCUAUUAUAGCGCUAGUAGUUGGCUAUUAAAUAUUUUUUGCUAGAGCUUUGUCAUUGUUAUUAUGUUUGUUGUUAUAGCUAAUAUUUUGAGCUGUAUAUUUUAAUGGCUAUUAUACAUUGCUAUACCAUC
rnacentral:lncRNA from 1 species